AACAAGGAUUCCCCUAGUAACUGCGAGUGAAGCGGGAAAAGCUCAAAUUUAAAAUCUGGCGGUCCUUGGCCGUCCGAGUUGUAAUCUAGAGAAGUGUUACCCGCGCUGGACCGUGUACAAGUCUCCUGGAAUGGAGCGUCAUAGAGGGUGAGAAUCCCGUCUCUGACACGGACUACCAGGGCUUUGUGGUAUGCUCUCAAAGAGUCGAGUUGUUUGGGAAUGCAGCUCAAAAUGGGUGGUAAAUUCCAUCUAAAGCUAAAUAUUGGCGAGAGACCGAUAGCGAACAAGUACCGUGAGGGAAAGAUGAAAAGAACUUUGGAAAGAGAGUUAAACAGUACGUGAAAUUGCUGAAAGGGAAACGCUUGAAGUCAGUCGCGUUGGCCGGGGAUCAGCCUCGCAAUUGCGUGGUGUACUUUCUGGUUGACGGGUCAGCAUCAAUUUUGACUGCUGGAAAAAGGUUUGGGGAAUGUGGCAGCUUCGGCUGUGUUAUAGCCCCUUGUCAUAUACAGCAGUUGGGAUUGAGGAACUCAGCACGCCGCAAGGCCGGGUUUCGACCACGUUCGUGCUUAGGAUGCUGGCAUAAUGGCUUUAAGCGACCCGUCUUGAAACACGGACCAAGGAGUCUAACAUGCCUGCAAGUGUUUGGGUGGAAAACCCGAGCGCGUAAUGAAAGUGAAAGUUGAGAUCCCUGUCGUGGGGAGCAUCGACGCCCGGACCAGAACUUUUGGGACGGAUCCGCGGUAGAGCAUGUAUGUUGGGACCCGAAAGAUGGUGAACUAUGCCUGAAUAGGGUGAAGCCAGAGGAAACUCUGGUGGAGGCUCGUAGCGAUUCUGACGUGCAAAUCGAUCGUCAAAUUUGGGUAUAGGGGCGAAAGACUAAUCGAACC
rnacentral:rRNA from 1 species